AACAAAUGCUGGCGGCGUGCCUAACACAUGCAAGUCGUACGAGAAAGGGUCCUUCGGGGCCUGAGUAAAGUGGCGCACGGGCGAGUAACGCGUGGAUAAUCUGCCCUUCAGUUGGGAAUAACUCAUCGAAAGGUGGGCUAAUACCGAAUAAUGCUGUGAGACCUCGGUUGAUCAGCCAAAGAGAGCCUCUGCUUGCAAGCCCUCGCUGAAGGAUGAGUCCGCGUACCAUUAGCUAGUUGGUAGGGUAAUGGCCUACCAAGGCGACGAUGGUUCGCUGGUCUGAGAGGACGAUCAGCCACACUGGAACUGAGACACGGUCCAGACUCCUACGGGAGGCAGCAGUGAGGAAUCUUGCGCAAUGGGGGCAACCCUGACGCAGCAACGCCGCGUGAGUGAGGAAGGUCUUCGGAUCGUAAAGCUCUGUCGGAUGGAAAGAACCGCAUAGGGGUAAACAGCCCCUGUGUCUGACGGUACCAUCAAAGGAAGCACCGGCUAACUCCGUGCCAGCAGCCGCCGUAAGAC
rnacentral:rRNA from 1 species